ACCGUAUUACUUCGUCUGUCUCUUCGUUUUUAAUUCCGGUGUGAAGAAAAUUAGAAGAACAAUUCCGGUGGUAAGUAAUUUUUAAUUUUUUGAUUUUAAUUUUUGUAUGCAUGUCUGUGAAUCUGUGAUUGAGAUUAACGGAUUUUUGUUUUCUCUAGCGAGUAGCGGCUUAAAGGAUUUUCUUCAUCUCCCACCAAACCUUCAUAGCGAGUAGCGGCUUAAAGGAUUCACUGCAAUCACCGCCAAAGAUUGAGACCAAUUGAGAGCAAUUGCCUGACAAGUAAAAUCAAGGUACAUUAUCAAAGGCAGGAGCCGCAGGACUGCAUCAAUUGCACAAGGAAGUGCCAACUUUGUCAGUGAUGGAAAUAUGGCGUCAUUUCACUCGGAGAAAUGUUGAAGAA